rnacentral:rRNA from 1 species
GCAUCGUGAUGGGGAUAGAUUAUUGCAAUUAUUAAUCUUCAACGAGGAAUGCCUAGUAAGCGCGAGUCAUCAGCUCGCGUUGAUUACGUCCCUGCCCUUUGUACACACCGCCCGUCGCUCCUACCGAUUGGGUGUGCUGGUGAAGCGUUCGGAUUGGCGUUAGUGGGCGGUUUUCCGCCUCCUCUCGCUGAGAAGUUCGUUAAACCCUCCCACCUAGAGGAAGGAGAAGUCGUAACAAGGUUUCCGUAGGUGAACCUGCGGAAGGAUCAUUG